rnacentral:rRNA from 1 species
UGCGCAGGCGGCCGGGUGUGUCAGAUGUGAAAUCCCGAGGCUCAACCUCGGAACUGCGUCUGAAACUACUCGGCUAGAGUAUUGGAGAGGGUAACGGAAUUCACGGUGUAGCAGUGAAAUGCGUAGAUAUCGUGAGGAACACCAGAGGCGAAGGCGGUUACCUGGACAAUUACUGACGCUCAGGCACGAAAGCAUGGGGAGCAAAAG